rnacentral:rRNA from 1 species
GGCGAACGCUGGCGGCGUGCUUAACACAUGCAAGUCGAACGAGGAUCAACUCGGAAGGGUUUCGGCCCGGAAAGGUUGAUUCGAGUGGCGGACGGGUGAGUAACGCGUGAACAAUCUGUCCCAGACAGGGGGAUAACACUUGGAAACAGGUGCUAAUACCGCAUAAGACCACGAGAUCGCAUGGUAUCGGGGUAAAAGGUGCAAACCGGUUUGGGGUGAGUUCGCGUCCGAUUAGAUAGUUGGUGAGGUAACGGCCCACCAAGUCGACGAUCGGUAGCCGACCUGAGAGGGUGAUCGGCCACAUUGGAACUGAGAGACGGUCCAG